CAUAUUUCUCCAUCCAUUUACCUCCAAGAUGUAUGUGUCUGUAUAUUUAAAGUGGAUUUCUUCUGGACGAUAUAUAGGUGGGUCUCGUUCUUUGAUCCUCUCUGACAAUCUCUGCCUUUCAAUCAGUGCAUUUGCACCAUUAGUGUGUACAGUGAUUAUUGAUAUAGUUGGAUUAAUACUUGCUAUAUUUGUUACUGUUCCUUAUUCAUUGCCCUUGGUCUUUGUUCCUGUUUUUGUCUUUCACUCUUUUUCUGCCUUUUGUAGUUUUAAUUGAUUUCAUAUGAUUUCAUUUUCUCUCCUUUAUUAACAUAUCAGUUAUACCUCUUUUUUAAUGUUCUUUUAGUCGUCGCCCUAGAAUGUGCAAUAUCCAUUUAUAAUUAAGUCAAGUCCACUUUCAAAUAACACUGUGCCACUUUAUGGGUAAUGCAAGUACUCACAACAACUAUACACUUACAUUUACUUGAUUAUGUGAUUGCAAUAAAUAGAAAAAACGGAAAUAUUUAUUUCUCCCUCACUUAUUCCUUCCCUGAUAAUCUUCCCUCCUUUAUGUCGUUCUGAGUGUCAGUCCUACAUUAUUCUUCUUUUCUCUGAAGAACUUCUUUUAACAUGUCUUGCAAGGCAGGUCUACUGGCAACCAAUCUCCUUCAACAAAUCACUUCUGAAGGAUCAUUUUUCAGGGUACAGAAUUAUAGCUUGGUGAGUUUUUUUUUUUUUCUCUCAAUACCUUAACUAUUUCCCUCCACUCUUGUUUUGCUUGAGUUGUUUCCUGUCAUGAGUCAGCUUAGGCUGUCAUAGCAAAAUACAGUGUGUGUAUUACUAAGCACGAUGUCUUAAACACCAUAAAUUUAUUUCUCACAGUUCUGAAGUCAGGAGGCCACGGAUUAUGGUGCCAGCAUGGUCAGAUGCUGAUACAGGCUCCCUUCUGGGUUUGCAGAUGGCCACUUGCUCUCUGUGUCUUCACACAGCAGUGAUUUCUCUUCUUACAGGGGCACUAGUCCCAUCAUGAGGGCCCCACCCUCUGGACCUCAUCUAAACUGAAUUAUCUCCCCAAAGCCCAUUAGGAUUUCAACAGUUGAAUUUGGGGAAAACAACUCAGUCUGUAACAGCUCCUGAGCAGAAACCACAUACAAUUCUUAUCUUUGCUCCUCCAAAGUUUUUACAGAACCCCUAGGAGAUCCACAUGUUCAUUUCCAUUUAGAGAAGCAUGAACUUUAAAGUUAAGCAACCGGCACAAAGUCUCCAGAAGGUAAACGCAGAAAGUGUCGAUCUGCGGGAAGAGCCCAAGGAGGGAAAUCGCAGGGAAGCAAUAUAAAAAUACUGGAAGUGAACAGACAAAGUUGACGGUAAGUGUGCGGCCGAUGGCCACCAGUCCCCGAGGCAAUCCCGCCUGCUCCCGUUCCAGCACCCGGCCCGCCCUGCCCGUGUCCUGGAGGCAACACUGGACUCCUUGCACCCACAGAAGGAAGGUCUGCAGGCCGAGUGGAAACAUGCCUGCAGAAGUAACAAGGGGCCGUGUCCGAGGAAGAGGCCUAGACGAGGGCCCAGGAGAGACCUCGGGUGGUGAGGGAGGCAGUGGACCAGUCCACAGUUUGCAAGAGCAGCUUUGCAUGUGGGGGGCAUGAGCAUGGGAGGAGAAUCUGGGAAACUCCAGAAAUAGGCAAACCUAAAGGGUGGUAGGUGGGCGGGUCUCUCCCUGCACGGGGGCAGGGGGUGCAAACAUCGGAGCUGGGGGCUCCUCACUUUGUGCCUCUGUCCCCUGGUGCACUUGACGUGCUGAGCAUCACCACAUCUACAUGCCAACCACAGAUUCGAGUUCAGUGGGAACUCCAGGUUCGCAGAGGAACAAGGGAGGGUGGUGAUUAAGACGCCACCACAGGUGAUGGUGGGGCACUGAAGGGACUGACUCCCUGGACACUGGAGCAUCUGGGACAUGAAGGUAGCCCUGCCUGGCCAGAGGACCGUGUUCCGUCCCAAAAUUGUAACAGUGCAGCUGGAUAAAACAUCCACAUGCCAGGACUCCACCUGUCCCCCAGAUCAUUUGUUAGAGGAAAUAAGACGUACCAGAGCUGCGUUUCACAGCUACUUCCCUAUUAUCCUCCCUUGCUCAAGUCUUUGUAAGUUGGCUUUCAUAGAAACACAGAAUCUCCCAUUCCUUCUGCUAUAAUACAUCUGUCUUCUGUCUCAGUUUAUUGAGUAGCAUGUCAAUGUAGUUCGAUACUGGUAAGCCUUAAUAAAACUAAGGAAAUUUGAUUUGAAAUCCCA